ensembl:lncRNA
GCAGUCGGAGGGGCUGCAUUGCAGACCCAGCCGAGCCCGCAGACAAAAGCGCCGCUGCUCCUCCCGCGGCUCCCCGGCACAAAGAGCGCGGCCGGCACCGAGCCCUGCGCAGCAGCCAGUACGACUCCUUCAUCUACUGGAGGAUGCCGAUCCCGCGGCUGGACAUGGCCGAGCUGGAGGGGCUGGGGCUCGCAGACAUGGCCCUCUACACGCCCAAGGGAGGCCUGGCCAAGCUCGGCGAGCGCGGCAGCCAGGACCUGUCCCCAGAAGAGGACACUCUGCUGCAGUUCAACAGCUUUAACUUCUGGCGAGCUCCCAUUGCCAGCAUCAGCUCCUUAGAUUUCGAUUUAAUUUGAAGCCCUCCCUGCCCCUCCUCACCCCCCCGCUCUCUCUUUUUCCGCCAGGCAUGCCAGGAUUUGGUUUUGUUGUCAGUUUGGAGGCUGUUGGGUUGGGUUUUUUUGGGUUUUUUUGGGUUUUUUGGGUUCUGGGCAGUUUUGCCAUUCCUCGCUCACUCAGCAGUUCACCGCGGCCUCGACGGUGAUGGGCUCCCCAAAAAUCUCCAGCCCUUCUCCCCGUUUUCCUCCUGGAACACAACGGGGCCAGCAACAGCUGGCAAACACGAGGGGAGGGGGCAGAAAAAGCCCCCCCAUUGCCCCUCUCCGUUCCCAGAGGGUUUGGGAGGUGGCACCCCCCUGUCCCCGCCCUGUGUGACAAUUUCUCAGCUCAUUUCUCGUGUGCUUUUUUAAGAAACUCGUUUGUGCAAUUGAGGAGCAAUGGGAAUCGCCCUCGUUUUGCAGAAAGCAUCGACCCUCUGUGCUCCCCUGGCCCAAUUUCUCAAAAUUCCUCUUCGUCCCUUGACCUUCCCCUCGGGAAUGCAAGGUGGAAGGGGCAGAGAUAUCUUCUUCUUGAGAAAAAUAAUCACUUUGAGCCUUGUGGUGUGAGCCCAAGCAGAAAAAAAUAUCUCCAGGAGGGUAAAUAGACAUGGAAAUGCACUGAUCUUGCUUAGUGGGGUCAAGGCUGGGUGUUUAUUGCCCCAAAUUUGAUUUUUUUUUAUCCUUUUUAAUGCUCCACAUGGUUUAUUCCCAGUGCAACUCCUGACUGGGACAGAUGCUGUGUACAUUGUAGGGUCUGGAAGGGCGAUGGGGCAGAGCUGAAAGAUUAAUCUUACCCCCAGAUGAAAAUAUUUCAGGUUUUCCACCCCCUUAAUCAAACCCUUUAAAAACAACAACAAACAAUGCUGCAUUCAUUCAAGUGGAAGCCUUGAGUUUUCUCCGGGGAGGUUUUCACCUGCUGAGGUUUAUUUCUGAGCAUCAGCUUAAAAUUGGGGGAAAAAACCCAACCUGGAAUAAUUUUUGGCUUUUAAAUAGUUGUGGGUUUUUUUCCCUCCCCAAGAUUGUUUUUUGGGAUUGAUUUGUCUUCUUGAAUGUGCUUUUUUUUGGGCUUGAUUGGGAUGAAGUGAUGUGAAGCAUCCCAAAAUCAUCCUGAGAGUUGGGGGGCAUAUGGCUGAGGCAGCACUUAAAAAGUGCCAGAAAUAGGAAAAAAAUUGGAAAAAUCUGCAUUCUACUAUGAAAAUUGGAUGCAGCUCUCCUGUAAUCUGCAGAAAUAAUCAAGUGUGCUGAUUUUGAACCAUCUGUGUAAAACCAGAGAUGAAAAAUGUAAAUUUUUCUCUGCAGAGCUGUUUGACUUCUGUGUUCCCAGCUAGGAAAACCUGCAGGAGAAGUAUUUAUUAUGAAAGUUUAAAUAAAAUCAGUUCAAA